GCAACAGGGUAACCAAUCAACCAGUGCCAACUGUAAUUAUGUGUACUGACCCUAUAAGAGUAAAGCUCACCCUGAACGUGGGCCCCCAGAACCUCAGAAGUUUAGCUUGUCUGAGACCACUGGCUUAAUAAACCUAAGUUCUCCAACCCUCAAAUUGUGGUGCUCGGUUUCUCGAUGGUCUGACUUCUGAAACAUUUCUGGAAGCCCCAGGGAGAUUCCAGCCGCACUGGCCCCUUGAGACACUGCACCAGUGGCUUGGCUAGUUCGGAGCGGAGGAACUCCAAGACAAAUGAGGAGAACCUUUAUGGUUUUCUGGGUUCUCUUUCGGACUGGCAUUCUGACUCUCCAUGUGGCCGGGCCCUGACUGGACUCAUUGGAGGGAUGGACCAGUUCAUCAGGCAAGACUUCUCAAUAAGAGCCCAUGAUCCUUCCUGAGAUCCUGGUCAAGUCAUCAUCCAUCAUUCCAGGCUGGUGCAAUGUCACCCUGGAGUGCAAGUCCCCAGGAAACAGAGAAGACCUGAAGGUAACCUGGGAGAACAAGGGCCUUCCCAGGGAGCUGGCAUGGAGUGAGACACCAGAACUAGCCCCCAACACCUGGCAACUGACUAUGAACUUGUCUCUGAGUCAGCCCAAUGCCAUCCUCACCUGUGUGGUCAGCAACUAUGUGGACAAGAAAACUGCCUCUGUAGACUUUGCGCAAGUCUGUUCCCAUGGUUCACACAGACAGACGAUUGCUGACUCCCUUGGAGGCAUCCUGUGGACCAUCGUGGUUGUGCUAUUCUUCCUGGGAACUUGACUGUGCUUUUGGAAAAUGUAUAAGAGGGAAAGGAACAUGGAUACCAGAAG